GAUGAAGAACGCAGCGAAAUGCGAUAAGUAAUGUGAAUUGCAGAAUUCGGUGAAUCAUCGAAUCUUUGAACGCACAUUGCGCCCGCCAGUAUUCUGGCGGGCAUGCCUGUUCGAGCGUCAUUUCAACCAUCAAGCCCCCGGCUUGUGUUGGGGACCUGCGGCUGCCGCAGGCCCUGAAAACCAGUGGCGGGCUCGCUAGUCACUCCGAGCGUAGUAAUACAUCUCGCUCAGGGCGUGCUGCGGGUUCCGGCCGUUAAAAAGCCUUAUUUACCCAAGGUUGACCUCGGAUCAGGUAGGAAGACCCGCUGAACUUAAGCAUAUCAAUAAGCGGAGGA
rnacentral:misc_RNA from 1 species